GUGCUGCUUGUUUCAGCAGCACACAUACUAAAACUGGAAUGAUACAUAAAAGAUUAGCAUGGCCCCUGUACAAGGAUGACAUGCAAAUUCACGAAGCAUUUCAUUUAUUU
rnacentral:snRNA from 1 species